rnacentral:lncRNA from 1 species
GGAAGAUAUGGUCAAGGUCACGUCAGCCUGUGGUGAUCAAAGUGUGCUUUCAGAACUUAGCCUUUAAUCCUGGAGUUCUACGUGAGUGUUUCCAAGAACAUCAAAGUCUACUUGUUUGAUCUCCACGCCUACCAUCUUCAUAUAAAUUUUGCUGGACUCAUCAAGGACACAAGGGAUUAGAAAGCUACAUUUAUACAAUUCAAAGGCCUCAUAUUGCAGAGAAAGUAGAAAGGAUUUGGGACCGAGGAUUACUCAACUUGGAGACUAAACACCUCAGGGAUCCUCAAUAAGCCUAUUGCUAUAAGCAAGCCAAAAACCUUAGCAUUCUUUGACAAAACACUGUUAAGACUAUCUUAAGAAACAAAGAGGAGGGAGGGCUAUCCGCAACAGCUAGAGAGUUAGCUCAGCACAGGCUGAGAGUUGUUAACAGUGCAGGCUGCUUUUGCAGAGGAACUAGGUUCAACUCCCAACACCCACAUGGCAGCUCUAAUUCCAGUCCAAGGGGAGCCAAUACUUUCUUCUGCUCAUAUAUACAUGAGCAAAAUGCUCAUACACAUAAGAUAAUUAAAUAAAUCAAAAAAUAACUAAAAAAAAAGGAACAAAGAGAAAUUUGUUCCUCCUGCAGAAGCCAAGGAUAGACUUUGCUCAUCUUCAUCCAGGUCCAAAUGAUACCACGAGAUUUGUCUUGUGUCCAUCUCACUGCUCUACAAUCUUCUGUGAUGGUGAAAUUCUCAGGUGAGCUUAUUUCCAGGGAUGACUCUGUCCUUUCAUAAGUAUCUCAUUGACUCCAAAGGGUUCGUACGUAUUCAUCUAUAAACCACUGCCAGCUACUCAGUAUGUAUGAUUGCUAGCUUAGUGUAACCAGAGUUACACUGGACCUAAUUGUCAUUGAACUUGAACAAAUUGGACUUUUAUCCAGAGAUCUUCUGAUUCUGCAGUGUCUUCUGGAACUAUACCCAAGAGAAAAGGAUAUCAUUCAGGCUUUUAGGGAGACAGUGGCCCAGUAUCCUUCUCCUUCUCUCUGUUUCAAGCUCGUUAGUAAAUUUAUCAGUUACUUUCUAGUGCAUAGCAAAUAUGAGAAAGCACAGUGGCUUAAAAUAAAUGCAGCCAGUGAUUCUGUGUCUUUAGUUCAUCUUAGCUGGACUCACCCUAAUGCUUACUAAAAUAGGUGCUUGGUGAGUUUGCAGCAUCCUUGAUUGGAAUGCCCAGGAUGGCUGGGAUAAAUGAACCUUCCUCUCAACAUCCUGUUCUGUCUGAGCUCAUUCCUAUGAUGACUUAUGAGUUUCAAAGAACAGAAAAGGAUAGCAAAUUACAAUGAUCAAUUUCUGGAAAGACAUUUGUCUAUUUCAUAUUUGGUAAUAUCCUAUUGAUCCAAACAAGCAACAGGACCAAAGUAAAUUU